CCUGAAUGACAGAGCGAGAGGCCAUUUCAAACAACAACAACAACAUAGUAGAAAAGAAGAAAAGAAGAAGAUACUGUGGAGAAGCCAUAACAGCAGCAGACAAUCAGGAUGACUCCAGCUUUGUACCUGACUGAGGAACUUAGUGAACCCUGAAGAAAUGAUGAUUAAAGAGACAACGAAGAGGCCAGAUCUCCAUGUGUCUUUUUGUCCUUAAGAAGCUUUGGAAGCAAGGAAGAGCAGAAAUCACCUCCCCAUUGGAUAGAUGAAGAAAGGAGCCUCAGAGAAGAGAUUCGGAGGUUCUCCUAAGGCCACUAAGUAAUAAAUGAUGACAUGAGAGUAAACCAAAGCCUUCCUGUGCCAGGGUUGGUGUGGUCCUCUCUGAUGGGGGCUUUAACAUGUGGGGCCAAGGACAACAAAGGAACAGCGGUCUCCUUGCCAGUAACCAGAAGGACUCAACUGUCAGGGCUGCAAGAACUUCUCAAGGGCCCAGCUCUCUGCUGGAGUGGCAAUCAAGAAAUUGAAACACCUGUGAAGCCCCACCUCGCCGAAGAACCAGCACACCUGUCGACCACUGUCUUUCCACAUGCAGAUCCAGGAAGAAAAUCAAAGCAAGGAGUGGGGAGAGGCUGUUCUAGGACUGUGCUGCUCCCCUGGGUGCACAGCCCCUAUAUCUUCCUUCCCCCAUGUGUUACCACCUUCCCUGCCCAUGAACUGAAGGCUAUCUCCUCCCUCUCCCUCUCUGCAUCUUAAAGCUGAGCCCACUAACAUAAAGCCUGGACAAUUUGAUCUGCAGUGAAAUCUUGAAGACAGAGUCUGGCCUGCCUCAUUAGAAUCCACAUGUUAUUGAGCCUUACCCAUUGGUGCUGGCCCUGGCACACAGAAGGCAACUUAAUGCAUACUUGUAGAAUGAAUGAACAUUGUCCGGAAGACACACCAAGUCAAGGGUUGUUUGACAUCUAAUGUUCAAAAACUAUUUUGUGCACCUACCAUUCAGUGGGUACUAUCCUAUUUAUUUAGGAUAUGCUGGUGAAGCAAAUGGAUUCAUUCCCGGCCCUUGAUAUAUUUUAGCAGGGGAUACAGACAAGUAGUUGUCAUGCAUGUGAUGGUAUGAAAUUCAACCGAUGAAAAGUUCUUACCACCUCCAGGCUCUGUCUUGCACAGAAGCACAGCCUAUGCUAGAGCCUUCAUGUCCAGCAGACUUUGCAGUCUGGACUUUUCAAUGUCUAGUGUGAGCUAAGAUUUGGCUGCCUUUCCCCACUUCCUGCCCCAUGUAGCCCUCUCCCUGGCCUCUUUUGGCCCUGUGUAUGGAGUAUUCCUGCCUCUUGGCAUAAUUCCAGUCCUAUGUAGUGACACCUGCAUCGGUGAGUGGCUGUAGCAACUGUCUAGGCCUGUCUAGAAAUUAAAGCUAUAACUCCAAACUUUGAAAGUCAGGGAAGCAGCAGCAGCCCUUCCCCUUCAGGUACCUACCAGCUAUCCUGCUGAAGAUACCUGGAUUUGCAUCUUCCCUGCAAUCUUCUGGAUGAGAUAGAAGCUAUGACUGAUACUGAGCCAUCUAAGGCAUCAGUCCCCAACCUUUUUGACACCAGGGACUGGUUUCAUGGAAGACAAUUUUUCCACGGACUUGGGGUGAGGGGGAUUGUCUCAGGAUGAUUCAAGCACAUUACAUUUAUUGUGCACUUUAUUCUAUUAUUGUUACCCUGUAAUAUAGAAUGAAAUACUUAUAAACUCACCAUAAUGUA